rnacentral:rRNA from 1 species
GCCAUCAUUCAGUUGGGCACUCUAGCGAGACUGCCGGUAAUAAACCGGAGGAAGGUGGGAUGACGUCAAAUCAUCAUGCCCCUUAUGACCUGGGCUACACACGUGCUACAAUGGUUGGUACAACGAGUUGCGAGUCGGUGACGGCGAGCUAAUCUCUUAAAGCCAAUCUCAGUUCGGAUUGUAGGCUGCAACUCGCCUACAUGAAGUCGGAAUCGCUAGUAAUCGCGGAUCAGCACGCCGCGGUGAAUACGUUCCCGGGCCUU